rnacentral:rRNA from 1 species
GACGUAGGGCGCGAGCGUUGUCCGGAAUUAUUGGGCGUAAAGAGCCCGUAGGCGGCUUGUCGCGUCGACUGUGAAAACCCGUGGCUCAACCAUGCGGUCUGCAGUCGAUACGGGCAGGCUAGAAUUCGGUAGGGGAGACUGGAAUUCCUGGUGUAGCGGUGAAAUGCGCAGAUAUCAGGAGGAACACCGGUGGCGAAGGCGGGUCUCUGGGCCGAUAUUGACGCUGAGGAGCGAAAGCGUGGGGAGCGAACAGG